rnacentral:rRNA from 1 species
CCCUAUGGGGUGCAGCAGGCGAGAAAACUUUGCAAUGUGCGCAAGCACGACAAGGUUAAUCCGAGUGUUUCCUGCUAAAGGAAUCUUUUGUUAGUCGUAAAACCACUAGUGAAUAAGGGGUGGGCAAGUUCUGGUGUCAGCCGCCGCGGUAAAACCAGCACCUCAAGUGGUCAGGAGGAUUAUUGGGCCUAAAGCAUCCGUAGCCUGUUCUCUAAGUUUCCGGUUAAAUCCAUUGGCUCAACUAAUGGGCUGCCGGAAAAACUGAAGAACUAGGGAGUGGGAGAGGUAGACGGUACUCGGUAGGAAGGGGUAAAAUCCUUUGAUCUAUUGAAGACCACCUGUGGCGAAGGCGGUCUACCAGAACACGUUCGACGGUGAGGGAUGAAAGCUGGGGGAGCAAACCGGAUUAGAUACCCGGGUAGUCCCAGCUGUAAACGAUGCAGACUCGGUGAUGCCCUGGCUUGUGGCCAGUGCAGUGCCGCAGGGAAGCCGUUAAGUUUGCCGCCUGGGAAGUACGUACGCAAGUAUGAAACUUAAAGGAAUUGGCGGGGGAGCACCACAAGGGGUGAAGCCUGCGGUUCAAUUGGAGUCAACGCCAGAAAUCUUACCCGGAGAGACAGCAGAAUGAAGGUCAAGCUGAAGACUUUACCAGACAAGCUGAGAAGAAGUGCAUGGCC